rnacentral:rRNA from 1 species
GAUGCAAGCGUUAUCCGGAUUUAUUGGGUUUAAAGGGUGCGUAGNCGNGAUAUUAAGUCAGUGGUGAAAUCCUGCAGCUUAACUGUAGAACUGCCAUUGAUACUGAUAUUCUUGAGUAUAGUUGAAGUGGGCGGAAUGUGUAAUGUAGCGGUGAAAUGCUUAGAUAUUACACAGAACACCGAUUGCGUAGGCAGCUCGCUAAACUAAUACUGACGCUGAGGCACGAAAGCGUGGGGAGCGAACAGGAUUAGAUACCCUGGUAGUCCACGCUGUAAACUAUGAUCACUCGUUGUUGGCAAUACACAGUCAGCGACUGAGCGAAAGCAUUAAGUGAUCCACCUGGGGAGUACGGCCGCAAGGUUGAAACUCAAAGGAAUUGACGGGGGCCCGCACAAGCGGAGGAACAUGUGGUUUAAUUCGAUGAUACGCGAGGAACCUUACCUGGGCUUAAAUGCAGAACGACGUCCGCCGAAAGGCAGAUUCCCUUCGGGGCGGACUGCAAGGUGCUGCGUGGUUGUCGUCAGCUCGUGCCGUGAGGUGUCGGGUUAAGUCCCAUAACGAGCGCAACCCUUAUUGUUAGUUGCCAGCGGGUAAUGCCGGGGACUCUAACGAAACUGCCGGUGUAAACCGAGAGGAAGGUGGGGAUGACGUCAAAUCAGCACGGCCCUUACGUCCAGGGCUACACACGUGUUACAAUGGCCGGUACAAAGGGCAGCUACCUGGUAACAGGAUGCUAAUCUCGAAAGCCGGUCUCAGUUCGGAUUGAGGUCUGCAGCUCGACCUCAUGAAGUUGGAUUCGCUAGUAAUCGCGCAUCAGCCACGGCGCGGUGAUACGUUCCCGGGCAUUGUACACACCGCCCGUCAAGCCAUGGAAGCACGGGGGUACC